UCUCUCCCGGAGUGGCAUGCUAACAUGCAUGCUAACUGUGGCAAGGGGCGUGGUCCGCGCGUUCCCUGUGGGCCGGGUGUGUGCAGUGAUCGGCCAUGAAGCAGCUGACAGGAGCGCGGGAGACCUUGACAGGAGACAACGUGGAAGAGACGCAAACACGAGGCACAAGCGGGAGGAACGCAGGGUGCAUGGACAAACCCGAAAAGGACUGAUGAUUGCAAGUAUGGGCUGAAAAGUCCAAGAGACAUUUGAGUGUAACGAAAAGAUAUUUGAACAUAAUGAAAAGAUAUUUGAGUGUAACGAAACAACAUUAAAAAGUGUAAACGCUGCCUGGAGUGUGCCACCUUCCUGUGAUCCAUCAGAACCCAAGCACAAGCGUUGCUACACUAACAUUUAAUGCUGGCUUUAAAAAAUGUUUUAUUCGUUUGAAACUAA